UGUAGUGUUUGCACAAAGGCAGGGUUUCAGAGGUUGCAUGCCAAUGGCUGAGCACAUUCCUAACAGUCCUCUGACUGACUACUGACUUGCCUCAGAACUGCCCUGUGGUCUUGCGGGGAGGAGGUCUUCCUGGGACUUAAUAGUCUAGAACAAGUCUACCGCCUAUUCCUUCUCUUCUCCUUCAUGGGGUCACACUUGGAUCUGACUGCACUCACUCGGCCAGCCUGGCUCCCUCCUGGUAAGCAACUUGUGCUGGUCAGGGGAGGCCUGGAGAGGCUGUUCAGCCAUUCACAGAAGCCCUUUCAUGAUGGCAGCAGGAGAAGCGGUGAAGAAGAGGGCAGAAGACAAGGAGGUCGUUGUCACUGCUGCGAGCUGGUGGGCAAGGUAAACCUGCUGCAUUUUAGAAAGCUGUGGUGGUAUAAAGGACGGUGCCAAUGGCACCAACCACCUUCAACAUCUGUCUUCCUUCCUCAUCUCUGAAAACACCAUCACUACCCAGAGGCAUGCCUGGUACUCCAUUAUUCCAACUCCAGUCAAGUUCACAAUGAAGACUCAUUACCACAGAAUUCAAAAAUGAUAACUUUAAAAAAAUUAAAAAGAAAAAAAAGCUAGGUUUUGCAAUCUGCCAAAGGACCUGCUCACUGGGAUUUCCUUCCCACUUCAUCAUUUGCCUCUUAGUUUUAUUUUUUUAUUAGAUGUUUUCUUCAUUUACAUUUCAAAUGCUAU